rnacentral:lncRNA from 1 species
UGGAACAUGGCAACAUUAAUCUGACCACAAGCUGACUGGCAGGUGCUUUAACCACAAGCUCUGACUCCAGGCCCUGUCCCCUGAGCUCUGCCCUCGGAUGUCCGACCGCCCAGAGCCUGCAUGCGCCGUGGGGCGCCCCAGGACCAGGAGCUGGAACUGCGCUUCGCUUCCGAGUCCUGUGCACAGCACCUGCCAAAUACACGGUGUUUGACGCAGAGGGAUAUGUGAAGCCCCAGUCUUGCAUUGACAUUGUGAUUCGCCAUGUGGCACCCAUUCCCAGCCACUAUGAUGUCCAGGACCGCUUCCGCAUUGAGCUGUCUGAGGAAGGAGCUGAGGGCCGAGUGGUGGGACGCAAGGACAUUACCUCCAUUCUGAGAGCCCCAGCGUACCCCCUUGAGCUUCAGGGACAGCCAGAUCCAGCGCCUCGCCCAGGGCCUCCUGCUGGGACACCACCACCCACGGCCAGACACUUCCAGGA